AGUGAACGCUGGCGGCGUGCCUAAUACAUGCAAGUCGAACGGAGUGGCGCACGGGUGAGUAAUAUAUCGCUAAUCUGCCCCUUGCUGGAGGACAACAGUUAGAAAUGACUGCUAAUACUCCAUAGCAAGGGAUGGGACUAUAUCGUAUCAGCUAGUCGGUGGGGUAACGGCCUACCGCGGCUAUGACGCGUAACUGUGCUGAGAGGAUGAUCAGUAAAAUUGGAACUGAGACGACGGUCAAGCACCUAGGGGAGGCAGCAGUAGGGAAUAUUGCGCAAGGGGGGAAUCCCUGACGCAGCAACGCCUCGUGGAGGAUUACACUUUUCGGAGCGGAAACUCCUUUUGUUAGGGAAGCGGUAUCUAACCAGAAAGCCACGGCUAACUACGUGCCAGCAGCCGCGGUAAUUC
rnacentral:rRNA from 1 species